AUUCGACAGAGUUUGAUCCUGGCUCAGGAUGAACGCUAGCGGCAGGCUUAACACAUGCAAGUCGAGGGGUAUUGGUUUUCGGACCAAGAGACCGGCGCACGGGUGCGUAACGCGUAUGCAAUCUACCUUUUACAGAGGGAUAGCCCAGAGAAAUUUGGAUUAAUACCUCAUAGUAUAGCAGUUUCGCAUGAAACCACUAUUAAAGUCACAACGGUAAAAGAUGAGCAUGCGUCCCAUUAGCUUGUUGGUAAGGUAACGGCUUACCAAGGCAACGAUGGGUAGGGGUCCUGAGAGGGAGAUCCCCCACACUGGUACUGAGACACGGACCAGACUCCUACGGGAGGCAGCAGUGAGGAAUAUUGGACAAUGGGCGCAAGCCUGAUCCAGCCAUGCCGCGUGCAGGAUGACGGUCCUAUGGAUUGUAAACUGCUUUUGCACAGGAAGAAACACUCCGACGUGUCGGAGCUUGACGGUACUGUGAGAAUAAGGAUCGGCUAACUCCGUGCCAGCAGCCGCGGUAAUACGGAGGAUCCAAGCGUUAUCCGGAAUCAUUGGGUUUAAAGGGUUCGUAGGCGGCCUUAUAAGUCAGUGGUGAAAUCUCCCCGCUCAACGGGGAAACGGGCAUUGAUACUGUA
rnacentral:rRNA from 1 species